UACGGAGGGGACUAGCGUUGUUCGGAUUCAUUGGGCGUAAAGGGUGCGUAGGUGGCGCUGUAAGUCGGGUGUGAAAUCUCGGAGCUUAACUCCGAAACUGCAUUCGAUACUGCCGUGCUUGAGGACUGGAGAGGAGACUGGAAUUUACGGUGUAGCGGUGAAAUGCGUAGAUAUCGUAAGGAAGACCAGUGGCGAAGGCGGGUCUCUGGACAGUUCCUGACGCUGAGGCACGAAGGUCAGGGGAGCAAACGGG
rnacentral:rRNA from 1 species